AACAUAUAUACAAAUAUUUAUGUCUAUCUUUCUUGCUGAGUAAAUAGAUUGAUCUCUAAUGCGGUCCAAACCAUGAAAUGAAGACUUCUAACAUAGAAACCAGAACAAAGAUUAAGAUGGUUGACCGGGUAAGGUGAUUUUGUCAUGCUCCGAGGGUGUGAAAGUUGAGCUUUCCACCGGUAGAAUAUGAACCAAUGAAAAACAUAAGCAAGAAGGGGAAGAAGAAGAUGAGUAAUUGAAAGUUGAUGGCAGUGUUGUGUAACUGAGCCUUGAAGUUUUUGUACUGAGAAAAACAUAACAAGCUAAUGACGAUGCCAAAUACCAUGAACAAGUGGAAUGGGGGUGCAGAAACAGAAGCCAUGCUCUUUCCUUUCCAUCCCUGUUUCAAUUCUGUACCCCUUCUCUUAGACUCCAUUCUGUUUCUUUUCUUUUUUAAUUUGUUUUACUCACCCACCUCCUGCAAAUUAUAUUUGUUGCUUAAUUGAUGAGAUGAGAUGAGCUUCGUUACUUCUCAUAUUAGUUUGGUUUUGGCAUAUUCUUUGUGUGUGAUCAGCAUUUUCGCAAGUUCGUA
rnacentral:lncRNA from 1 species